rnacentral:lncRNA from 1 species
GGAAAACGAGCGAAGUAAAGGGAGUAGGGGAGACUGAGACUGACCGGUAGCCAGGCAGGCGGACGGACGCACGCCCGGACAGACUGAGCAGGCGCCGGAGAACCACUCACAGGUUCCCCCCGCCUUUCCCUUUGAAAGCUAGGAUUUUGCCUUUCCCGUGGCGCCCGAGAGAGAAUGCUGGACUCUGCCGACUUCAGCGCAAGCUAAGAUUUCUCAGCUAGGGACAAACGAUCAGCCCAAUCCUGAGAAGGGGGGAACCAAGCACCCCGUCCCCAUCCCCCUCCCCUCCCCCGACUAAACUCGGGCGCCAAACCCAGCCCUUCUCUAACCACCCUACUUCCUCCUCUCCUUUCUAGCAUGGUGGCUGUAUGGACAGUCUGACAGAACAGAGACUGACAUCUCCCAAUCUGCCGGCCCCCCACCUGGAACACUACAGUGUUCUGCAUUGCACCAUGACCCUGGAUGUGCAAACUGUAGUCGUUUUUGCCGUGAUUGUAGUCCUCCUGCUUGUCAAUGUCAUACUCAUGUUUUUCCUGGGAACGCGCUGAAUGGAGUCCAGCCACCUGAGCUGUCGCGAACUCUCGCUUUGAUUUCAUCCCGAGAGCCACCGAGAAAAAAAAAAAAUCACAGACAGAGACAGGGAAAGAGAGAGAAAGAACAAGCUUUCUUACUCAGGGGGGAAAACGUUUUGAGCUUCAACAUGGCCUCGCUGUGAUAUCUGAUCACUGGAGAUUCCAUCGUUAGUGCUGAGGCAGUAUGGGAUCACGUCACCAUGGCCAACCGGGAGUUGGCAUUUAAAGCUGGCGACGUCAUCAAAGUCUUGGAUGCUUCCAACAAGGAUUGGUGGUGGGGCCAGAUCGACGAUGAGGAGGGAUGGUUUCCUGCCAGCUUUGUGAGG